CUCUCUGAUUUAAAUGUUUAAAGUCCAUUUAUACAGAGGGACAAAGCUACUUGAAACUCGUUCCGAGCAUUUCUAUACUCCACAGCUUGGAAGUUCAUCUUCUAUCAGAAGCUCCAAACAAUCGGCGCAGUCACAAACGAUCCAAUCUAUCUGUGUAUGUAGCGUGCCUACUGGAAACAGCAUUGCCACAACAAAGGAAAAUCACGUCUUUCUCAGCCCCAAAAUACAGAACCCAGCGUAGUGUUAAUGUGUGUAGAGGCAUCGUGGACAUCCAAUGGCACAACCAGACUUUUGUCAGUCUUUGAAAGCAAUAAUGGUGCAGUCCUGGAAACUAACAGAAUCUUGGUAUAUUUCUAGUCUAAUACGCUCUGGAGAUAAUUGUAUACAACCUAAACAAAGAAACAAGCAUCUUUUAACAGCAGUUAUGUUGUGAAUUCAUUUGCUAUGUGAGUUCAACAACUCAACCUUCACACAUGAGAUGUUAUAGUGGCAUGUUCCGACAACAAAAAGAAUGCUUUAAGUUGAAAAAUCUGAAUUAGCAUAUAACCACCUGUAUCUUAUUAAUAUUGCACAAGCUUGGUUGUGGGGUAUUUGCAGUCAAAACCUGUAAGGGACAUCUACAGUUUGUCCAGUCAGUUUGGGGAUUUUUAUUAUUUCACAACUGUUCUUCUGUGGAGGAAUGAUGUAUGAAUGUAAAUGUAUUCCUUUGUCUGCGACUCCUACAGUAAAUCAUGGCAGA